UGAAUAUCGAACAAUACGUCAAUUUCAAUGAUUUUGGGUUUUUUUGAGACACCCUGUAUAUAACAUAAUUGAUAUUGCUUUAUGUAAAUGUAGUUGAUAAUCAAACUUUCUAAAACCUUCAAUUGUAUGAAUGCUUCAAACUAUCUUUAAUAUUUGAUGUUAAGAAAUAUUUCUUUCUGUUGAGUCCUAGACCUUUUGUUUUUAAUCCAAGCAAUCAAACUGCCAAAUUACUGUAAUUAUUAACAGCAUAGGUCAUUGAUAAUCAGCUGAAUUUUAAAACUGCUUUGGGAAACCCUAAGUAGAUUUUAUAAUCUUAAAUAUAGUUGCACUCAC